GUCCACGCCUUAAACUAUGUGUGCUAGCUGUUGGGGUCCUUAGGGCUUCGGCGGCGCAGCGAAAGCAUUAAGCACACCGCCUGGGGAGUACGGCCGCAAGGUUAAAACUCAAAGGAAUUGACGGGGACCCGCACAAGCGGUGGAGCAUGUUGUUUAAUUCGAAGCAACGCGAAGAACCUUACCUACCCUUGACAUACCGGUUCGGAGGAGCAGAGAUGCACCUCUUCAGUUCGGCUGGGCCGGAUACAGGUGCUGCAUGGCUGUCGU
rnacentral:rRNA from 1 species